CUCGGAGUCUUUACUUUAUGUUCAAGCCCGACCCACAUCUUUCAAAACCCUAGUCAUCGUAGCGCCUCUGCUCCUCCUUCCUCCUCCCUCCUCCUCCUCUUCCUCGAGCGAUCUUCAAGCUUUCGAAGGGCAAGAUGAGCAGCCGUGCGAGCAGGACUGUUUACGUUGGGAACCUACCCGGCGACAUCCGCGAGAGAGAAGUGGAGGACUUGUUCCGCAAGUAUGGACCGAUAGCACACAUUGAUCUGAAGAUACCACCCAGGCCUCCUGGUUAUGCAUUUGUUGAGUUUGAAGAUGCUCGAGAUGCUGAAGAUGCCAUCCAUGGUCGUGAUGGCUAUGAUUUUGAUGGGCAUCGUUUAAGGGUGGAGCUUGCUCAUGGUGGUCGCGGGCACUCAUCAUCAUCUGAUCGCCACAGUAGUCAUGGUGGUGGUCGGGGUUCACGUGGAGUAUCGAGGCACUCUGAAUUUAGAGUCCUGGUUAGUGGGCUACCAUCUUCAGCUUCAUGGCAAGAUCUUAAGGAUCACAUGCGUCGAGGAGGAGAUGUCUGCUUCUCACAGGUUUUUCGUGAUAGUAAUGGCACAACAGGGGUCGUGGACUAUACCAACUAUGAAGACAUGAAGUAUGCAAUAAAGAAACUCGAUGAUUCAGAGUUCAGAAAUGCCUUUUCCCGGUCAUAUAUUCGGGUUAAGGAAUAUGAUUCAAAGCGCGAGUCAUCAAGAAGUCCUAGAGGCCGGAGCUAUAGUCGCAGUCCUCGCAGUCCCAGCCGCAGUCGUAGCAGGAGUGUGAGCAAGUCUCCGAAAACCAAAAGUACACGGCGUUCACCUGCAAAGUCUCGAUCUCCUUCACACUCCCGCUCUAAGUCACCUUCCUUAUCAGGAUAUGGAUAUGGAUAUGGAUAAAUGCGGCAAACUGGGGAUUCAAUAUUAGGAUCUUGGUGGGAUAUGGUUCAGUUGCCUGCAACUAUAUGGUUGUGGAGAUUGGGAACAAAGGAGAUCAUGGAAUAACAGAGCUGGAUUCUGUGAACUAGUUCCAUUGGGAUCUACUUCAAGAAGUCUCGAGCUAAUAGGAUGACUAUCUGGACUCCUUUGGAUUGUUUUGAUCGCGUUCAAGAUCCAGAUCACCAUUGCCUUCUGUGAUAGGAUUGCGGGGCUAGCUGAAUGUGGACCUUGAAAGAUGUGACCCAAAUGGAGCAUUCAACUUAGCUUUAAUAAAUCAUCGUUAUAAUUGGAAAACCAGGUGUUAGCUUUCUGAAAGACUUCAAUAUCAUGACGGUUCCUGAGUGUGUCAACUGUGCUGUUAAUUACUUUAUAGAACUCAUUUAGUUUCCAUGAAUUUGAACUUGGUUCUUGAGUAUGCUGCUUGUAAGAGAUUUGAACGGUAUUUAUCUUUUCUGAACUGCAUAUAUUUCUAGUUUCGUGAGAUUGUGGAA